GCGUCAAUGUACAAGUCGAGUCCGAGUCAUCGUGGGGGGAAAAAUUCAAGAGUCCGAGUCCAAGUCAUCGUGUGCGAGAAUUCACGAGGCCAAGUCUGAGUCGCGUCAAUCAGUGUGCGAGUCCGAGUCGAGUCCCGAAAACCGGCACUCGAGUCGGACUCGAGUGCCGGUUUUCGGGACUCGAGUACUCCAUCUCUGCC